rnacentral:lncRNA from 1 species
GCCCUGAGGUCAAGAUUCAGUUGUGUUGUGUCAUCAUUGAAGCCUGUUCUCAUUUCUGAUUCUGGCAGGCUGGCUACCUGGCUUCAAUGAAGGUGAUCAGUAUGACCUCCAGUCCAGUUGUGGAGACAUAGACAGAACAUCCACAAGGUCUUUGAAACAGGACGGAAUUUGUCUCUCACAACUUUUGACUUAAUAUUGAUGUUGUGACUUGGAAUGAGAACUCCAGGAGAGAGCAAGACAAGGUGUCUGGCCGUUAUUUGCUGGACAGCCUUUUUGGCCUGUGAGUCUCAGCUCUCGUAAGCCAUGUGGACGUGGGCUUGAUGCUAGCUUGUCAGGAAAGCUGAGACCUUCCUGCACCAUCUCAUCCCCUCAAAGAAAACUCAGGAGGAGGCACAGGUGUUAAUAAUACUGAAAUACUAAAACGCAGAGCUGUGUAAUUACAUGCACUUAUCCUGCACCAUUAAAUACUUGAUUUCUACUCAGUCUGAAACCUGCUAAGUCUCUGAAGAAUCCAUGAAUAUCCAGAGCACGAGCUAGGAAUGGAAAUGUAAUACUGCUGAAAAGGAGAG